GGGGGCACGAUCAUCCGGUGAACUAAAGCAAGUAGGCAUAGUUGGGUGUGGUGCAGAAGAGGGGCGGAGUGGUGCGCCACAGUGGCCCCGUGACAGAGGACUCGGUAAAGCUGUCCGGGAGCUUGAACUUUACCUUGAGGGCAAAGGGGAGCUGGGGAAGAGUUUAAGGGGAAGAAUGACACGGUCUGGUUGGCAGUUUGGAAAGAUGCCUCUGGCUGCUGGGUGCGGGUUUGGAAGGAGCAGAGACAAGAGAAGGGGCUGGAACGAGGAGCCAGGGCCCCAAGGAAGCAGAGAGCAGAUGGUGGUGGAGGAGGUGGGGCAAGACCAGAAGAGACAAUGACUUAUUCUUCUCUGUCCUGUGGACACUCACUGAGGGCCACUCUGCGUCUGGGACACCAGGGACUGGCCCAAGGUCACAGAGGGCCCUAGGCUGGGGAGAAGUCAAGGCUGACCCUGGGUCCCCAACUCCAGGUUCCACCACCACAAACAAGUCUAGGGGGGGGCCACCUGUACCCUCUGUGGACUCUUGCCCUCCCUGCCCCAUUCCCAGAGAAUCCUUAGACAUCGGAGCCCACCUUAGAGCUCUAGUAUUGUUUUUUAUAAAACUGGAAUCGACUUAUCCCAUAAGCUCAAACAAUACAAAGCAGCAUAAAGAACACUUCAAAACGUUGAAAUUUUACUUCUGGGGGUGAAGAACCACCCCUAAAAGAGGUGGCAGAGCUAAGUGCUCACCAGCACAGCCUCCCAGGCCCAAGUGCCUGGCGCCCAAGAUGGCGCGCACACCGGCACCCAGCAAGCUUUACACUUACUAUUUCCACAUUUUACAAUGUUUGUGAAGUAUAAUUCCCCAAAAGUGUUUUUGAAAUGCAAAGGAACAAUAAUAAACCCUAUAUAUAUUUUCAGUAAUAUCUAAUUAACGAGGUGUUUGUAAAGAUAAAAUGAGAAAAAGCUUGUGACUCUUAGC
rnacentral:lncRNA from 1 species